rnacentral:misc_RNA from 1 species
UCUCCGUAGGUGAACCUGCGGAGGGAUCAUUACAGAGUUCAUGCCCUCCGGGUAGCUCUCCCACCCAUUGCUAUAACUACUCUCGUUGCUUUGGCGGGCCGCUGGGCCCUGCCCGGCCGCCGGCCCCGGCUGGCGCGUGCCCGCCAGAGACCUCACAAACUCUGAAUGUUAGUGUCGUCCGAGUAACUAUACAAUCGUUAAAACUUUCAACAACGGAUCUCUUGGUUCUG